rnacentral:rRNA from 1 species
GGACGAACGCUGGCGGCGCGCUUAAUACAUGCAAGUCGAACGAGAAGCCAGAGCUUGCUCUGGUGGAAAGUGGCGAACGGGUGAGUAACACGUGAGAAACCUGCCCCAAAGAUUGGGAUAAGCCUUGGAAACGAGGUCUAAUACCAAAUACCUUCUUUUUAACACAUGUUAAAAAGAGAAAUGCUCCGGCGCUUUGGGAUGGUCUCGCGAUCUAUCAGCUUGUUGGUGAGGUAACGGCUCACCAAGGCAUCGACGGAUAGCUGGUCUGAGAGGAUGUCCAGCCACAUUGGAACUGAGACACGGUCCAAACUCCUACGGGAGGCAGCAGUAGGGAAUCUUGCACAAUGGGGAAACCUUGAUGCAGCGACGCCGCGUGCGGGACGAAGGCCCUAGGGUUGUAAACCGCUUUCAGUAGGGACGAAAGUGACGGUACCUACAGAAGAAGCCCCGGCCAACUAUGUG